UAAAAAGGUGUUAAAAAUUUAAUUUUCUCGAACUUAGAAGAGCUAACUGGCUAUAGAUUUUAUUGUUGAAUAAAUAUUUAAAAUAGUUGGUUGGUAAUGAAAUGUUAUUCGUUUCUAAAUAUAUCUAGUUUUUUUAGAAAUAGAUUUAAUCUAGCUGAUUGUAAAAUUAACCUAAAUUUUUAGGUCUAUUUUUUUAUUAGGUAAUGUAUUAGGGGAUGAGCUUUAACACAAAUUAUUAUAAAUAGUUAAUUAGGGCAAUAAAGGUAGGAUUAGAAUUUUUCCUCCCUAGGAGGAUGUUAUAAUUAGUAUUGCUGUUGUUUUAUUUAUAUUUAUUUUAAAUUUUUUAUAAAAAUUUAAUUUUUAAUUAAUAAAAUUUAGUAAUAAUGAUAAAAUUAGUAUAGGAAAUUUUAUGUUUAAGUAAUGGGGAACGGUUUGUGAAAGGAAUUCGGCAAAUAAUUUUUUACCUGUUUAUUAAAAACAUGGCCUUUUGAUAAUUAUUUAAGGUCUAGCCUGCCCACUGAGGGGUUUAACGGCCGCGGUACUCU
rnacentral:rRNA from 1 species